rnacentral:rRNA from 1 species
GUAGGGUGCAAGCGUUAUCCGGAAUCAUUGGGCGUAAAGAGCUCGUAGGCGGUUCAGCAAGUCGGCUGUGAAAUUCCGAGGCUCAACCUCGGAACUGCAGUCGAUACUGCUGUGACUCGAGUCCGGUAGAGGAGAAUGGAAUUCCCGGUGUAGCGGUGAAAUGCGCAGAUAUCGGGAGGAACACCAGUAGCGAAGGCGGUUCUCUGGGCCGGCACUGACGCUGAGGAGCGAAAGCGUGGGGUAGCAAACAGGAUUAGAUACCCUGGUAGUCCACGCCCGUAAACGUUGGAUACUAGGUGUGGGGUUCCGAUCAACGGUCCCCGUGCCGAAGCUAACGCAUUAAGUAUCCCCGCCUGGGAGUACGGCCGCAAGGCUA